CGGGGGGGGCAAGCGUUGUUCGGAAUUACUGGGCGUAAAGGGCGCGUAGGCGGCCCUCUAAGUCAGACGUGAAAUCCCACGGCUCAACCGUGGAACUGCGUCUGAUACUGGAGGGCUUGAAUCCGGGAGAGGGAUGUGGAAUUCCAGGUGUAGCGGUGAAAUGCGUAGAUAUCUGGAGGAACACCGGUGGCGAAGGCGGCAUCCUGGACCGGUAUUGACGCUGAGGCGCGAAAGCUAGGGGAGCAAACGGGAUUAGAUACCCCGGUAGUCCUAGCCCUAAACGAUGAGUGCUUGGUGUGGCGGGUAUCGAUCCCUGCCGUGCCGAAGCUAACGCAUUAAGCACUCCGCCUGGGGAGUACGGUCGCAAGGCUG
rnacentral:rRNA from 1 species